ACUAACAAAUGGUGUACAGGAAAAUGACCUAUGAAUUGACAGACAGUGUGGCUAAGUGUGUCUGUCAUUUCUGUAGGCCAAUAUUCUGUAUAUCUCGACGACUUC
rnacentral:pre_miRNA from 12 species